rnacentral:rRNA from 1 species
UUAAAGCUAGCCUAUAUAUCAAUUCAACUAGACCUUAUAAAUCUAAUAUAUACUACAAUUUUUAAUCAAAACAUUCUCAACCUUCUAGUAUGGGCGACAGAACAAUAACCUCAGCGCAAUAGUUUAUGUACCGCAAGGGAAAGCUGAAAAAGAAAUGAAACAAAUCAUUAAAGUACUAAAAAGCAGAGAUUAUACCUCGUACCUUUUGCAUCAUGAUUUAGCUAGAAAAACUAGGCAAAAAGACCUUAAGUCUAUCUCCCCGAAACUAAACGAGCUACUCCGAAGCAGCAUUAUAGAGCCAACCCGUCUCUGUGGCAAAAGAGUGGGAAGACUUCCGAGUAGCGGUGAAAAGCCUACCGAGUUUAGUGAUAGCUGGUUACCCAAGAAAAGAACUUCAGUUCUGCAUUAAUUUUUCACCAUCUAAACAAGACUUACUCGUCAAAGAAAUAUAUAAGAAUUAAUAGUUAUUUAGAAGAGGUACAACCCUUCUAAACCAAGACACAACUUUUUAAGGUGGGAAAUGAUCAUAAUUAUUAAGGUUGCCAUCUCAGUGGGCCUAAAAGCAGCCACCUGUUAAGCAAGCGUCGCAGCUCUAAUCUAAUAAUUAAACCCCUAAUUCAGAUAUUCAUUCACAACCCCCUUUAUUUUAUUGGGUUAUUUUAUAUUUAUAUAAAAGAACUUAUGCUAAAAUGAGUAAUAAAGAGAACAAAUCUCUCCCGACACAAGUGUACGUCAGAAAGAAUUAAAUCACUGAUAAUUAAACGACCCCAAACUGAGGUCAUUAUAUCACUUAAUCAUUAACUAGAAAACCCUAUUCUCUUACUCGUUAUCCCUACACAGGAGUGUCAUCAGGAAAGA